AUGGCAGGUCGCCCGUUGCUGGCCCCGGCCGUCACGCUGCGUCCUCCUGGACCGGCGUUGGGCUCGAGGGCCUCGCUAUACGUCGGCGACCUAGAUGAUGGCGUGGCGGAGGGGCAUAUCUAUGCCCUGUUCUGCCAGGUGGCGCCCGUGGCGUUCCUCCGUGUCUGCCGGGACGUCACUGGCAGGUCACUUGGUUACGCCUACGUGAAUUUCUACAGUCGGGAGGACGCCCAACGUGCAUUAGACUCUUUAAAUUUUACCCCUGCCAACGGGAAGCAUAUCCGAGUUAUGUUCUCGAAUAGGGACCCAACGCUGCGAUUGAGUGGAAAGGCCAAUAUAUUCAUAAAAAAUCUUGUGCCAAAUAUUGAUGGCAAGAGCUUGAGUGAUAUGUUUGGUCGCUAUGGCACUAUACUAUCAUGCAAAGUGGCCACUCACUUUAACGGUCAAUCAAAAGGGUACGGAUUUGUUCAGUUUGCAGAGGAGACAUCUGCCAAUGAUGCCAUCGACAGCUUGAAUGGCAAACGAAUUUUUGUAGGUCUCUUCAUUCGUCGUCAGGAGAGGCAGCCAAAUAUCAGCUUGAGUAAUUAUACAAAUGUAUAUGUGAAGAACUUGCCAAAGGAAUUCACUCACAAUGACCUUCUCCAAGAGUUUGGCCCAUUCGGUACAAUUACUAGCGCUGUAAUCAUGAGAGAUAGUGAUGGAAUAUCCAAAUGCUUCGGAUUCGUUAACUAUCGGGAAUCAGAAUGUGCUGCAGAAGCUGUGAAAAGUCUUAACGGGAAGAUGAUUAAGGAUACAAUUUUGUAUGUUGGAAGAGCUCAGAAAAAGUCAGAAAGAAAAGCAAAACUGAAAGAAAACUUUGAGCAUGCGAGAAAUGAGAAAUUCAAAAAGUUUGAAGGGCUCAAUCUAUACGUUAAGAAUCUAGAUGAUAGUAUCAAUGAUCUAAAUCUUAGAGGGUUAUUUGAAUUUUUUGGUGAGAUAGGAUCAUGCAAGGUUAUGGUUGAUUCACAAGGAAGGAGCAAGGGUUAUGGCUUUGUGUCAUUUACAACUAUUGAAGCUGUCCACAAGGCCAUUGACGGGAUGAACAGGAAGAUAGUCAGCAAAAAGCCAUUGUAUGUUGGUGUAGCUCAACGCAAAGAGGAAAGACGAGCGAUGCUAGUGGCACACUUUGCUCGUAUUCAGAACGCAGGAGUUCUAGCACCCGCAGUACCACAAAAUUUUGCUCCCCAUCAGUUCUACGUCGGUCCAGGAGUGCCUGGCAUGUUCCCACCACAGGUUCCUGCAGGCUUCGGGUAUCAACAAUUCCCACAACAGCAUUUCACUCCUUGGGUUCCUAGCGGCAUGACGCCAUAUACAUAUAACCUGCCGAGGCCACUGCACCAUGCUGGGCGUGGUGCGCAUCAAGAAAUCAAUCUACACCGACAGAUGGUGUACCCAAAUGCCAACCAAGCUUUCACAUACAUGCCAAAUUCAAUGAAUGUGAAUGUCAACUCUGUGAUGGUUCCCCCGGGCUUCGCACAUAUUGAUAGUACUGUCUCUACUCCAUCUGUUCCAAGCAAGAACACCACCACCACUGCUGUAGAUUCUUCUGACCCAGAGAAACAACAUCUCAUUCAAGGCGAGAAACUGUACCCGCUGGCUGAAGAGCUUAAGCCAGAAUUAGGAGGGAAGGUGACAGGGAUGCUGGGUGAAGCAAUGGAAGCCCUGCAACGAAGGAAAGUGGAAGAUGCCAGCGAUACUGUUGACCUCGCGUCCGUACCAUCCACCUCGACCUUGAGUGCUAGCAGAGAUGCUAUUGACCCCACUUCCACAACGUCGUCCUCGAGUGCUUCCGCUGAUGGUGCUAACCUUGCUCCGGCACCGUCAUCCUCGAGUGCUUGA
rnacentral:rRNA from 1 species